GACGCUAAGUUUAAAAGCGACCGACGGGAAGUUACGGAAACAAUUAUUUCUCUUCGAUUGUUUAUUGACCGAUGCAAUGCAUUGUCCAGGACCCACGUUAAAUGACUCUUUUGUUGUAGCGACAUCUCUCUAGAUGACAACGAAAAGGAGGAAAUAAUCCUCUCACAGAUCGUGCCAACUCCUCCACCGUGGGAAUAUGAGUUCUGCAUCGUCGGUCCUUUCCUCAGGAAGUGGAAGGUCAAUUUCCAAGCUAUAACCGAGAAACUAUCCUAACUUUGGGAGCCAGGACACGGUGUGGAGAUCGAUGACCUAGGUAAUCGUUUAAUCCUCUUUCGACUUUUUCAUGAGCAUGACGUCCGUAGUAUGAUCGACUUUGGCCCCUGGAAUUAUGAUAGCCUCCUCCUAGUCGCACACGAGAUUCGUCGUGGUAAAAAUCCACGGGAGGUGCCGCUCAACAAGGCAACCUUUUAGGUCCAAGCUCAUGAUUUGCAGUUUGGAUACUUCUCCGAGGCUGUCGGACACGCAUUGGGGGAUUUCAUUAGCGAGUUCAUCCAUUAGGAUGAGAAGAAUGCCAUCUACUGCUAUAACCCUUAUAUGUGUUUACGAGUAUUUUUGGAUGUUAGGAAACCACUAAAGAGAUUCAAAAAGUUGAGCCUCCAUGACAAUGCAACAAUAACAUGUAUGUUCCUGUAUGAGAAGUUACGUGGAUUUUGCUAUAUUUGUAGGAUUAUGGGCCAUCUAGACUGAUAGUGUGAAGCUCACUUCCGGAUCCCAACACAUCAAAUCACACGCCAUGGUCUAAAGACCUUUGAGAUGGAUCCAAGAAGAGUGACAUCCAAUAAUCCAUAUCUCAUUAAGCGAGUGUAAGUAGGAAUCAAUAUCAUCCGC
rnacentral:lncRNA from 1 species